rnacentral:lncRNA from 1 species
GUCAAUAAGUAUUUAUCAAGUACAAUCAGAACCCUAAAAGUGUAUGAUUCAUUAAAUAAUGCACUUCAAACUUAUGAUAGCCAUAGUAAAAAAGUAUAACAAGAGAUGAACUAUUCUGUGAUACCCAAAAUAAAAUUCCAUAACAUCAAGAAACUAAGUAUCAAAUUAAAGUCAUCCAACUUGGUUGGUCAUUGAGAUAUAAUAUAAAAACACACUACAUUACUCUUUAGAACAAAAUUUGACAAACUCAGAAUCUCUAGUGUCAAUUGAGAAUAUGUUCUGGACAAAGCUGGAUAGACUACACCAAUUAAUCGAAAAGACUGAAACCCAUAUCCUGCAAUGACAAAAUAAAAUUGAAGUAUAAACAAUUAGAAAAAUCAGAUAUUAUACAAAGCCAAUUAACCAUAUAGAAAAUAGAUAUGGUACAAGUUACUUCAAAUGAUCAAAGUAGCAAUGUGAAAGUUAUCUUGACAUUAUUAUGUUGAGACAAACUACAACUUAUGUGCUUUAUAGUAGUGCUUCCCAAUUCACCUAAUAAAGGUUUUCUCUAAAUGCUUCCAUAAAUUAAAAAGACAAACUUCAAUUCUGAUUAAAGAAUAAAACUAAAAGUACAUAAAACACAUGAAUCUAAGCUGUCGUUUGCUAUGCUAGGAUCUACAAGUCAAGCCAGGAAGACAUUCAGAAACUUUAGAGGAUUGCUACUGCAGAAUAUGUUACUCAAUUAUAAUAGACUCACCAACCAACCUAAAGAUGAAUGAAAAGGCGAGGGUAUAAGUACACUUACAUCAUCGGAUUCCUCUUUCUCCUCGACUUUUUCCUCUUUCUUUGCCUCAGCGGCAGGGGCAGCAGCACCACCACCUCCCCCAGGCGCAGCAGCAACAGCAACAGCACCACCACCACCAGAGGGCACUGAAGCAAGUUUUUCCCUACCGGCAGCAAUAACCUCAACUAUAUCCUUUCCCUUAAUUUCAGAUAAAAAUAGUUCUAUCCUAUCACUAUCUGCCUCGGCACCA